AACGUAGGAUCCGAGCGUUAUCCGAAUUUACUGGGCGUAAAGCGCGUGCAGGCGGUUCGGUAAGUUGGAUGUGAAAUCUCCCGGCUCAACUGGGAGAGGUCGUUCAAUACUGUCGGACUAGAGGAUGGUAGAGGGAGGUGGAAUUCCCGGUGUAGUGGUGAAAUGCGUAGAUAUCGGGAGGAACACCAGUGGCGAAGGCGGCCUCCUGGGCCAUUCCUGACGCUAAGACGCGAAAGCUAGGGGAG
rnacentral:rRNA from 1 species